UUAACUCGAAUUUGUAUGCAGUUGGAACAGCGCCCCUAGCGGCAAACGUACGCAAACGUUCCAACUCCAUACAAAUUUUGAGUUA
rnacentral:pre_miRNA from 1 species